rnacentral:rRNA from 1 species
GAGGAAUAUUGCGCAAUGGGGGAAACCCUGACGCAGCGACGCCGCGUGGAUGAUGAAGGCCUUCGGGUCGUAAAAUCCUGUCAGGUGGAAAGAAGUGUAGUAUACCUAAUACGUGUACUAUUUGACGGUACCACCAAAGGAAGCACCGGCUAACUCCGUGCCAGCAGCCGCGGUAAUACGGAGGGUGCAAGCGUUGUUCGGAAUUACUGGGCGUAAAGCGCGCGUAGGCGGCUAUUUAAGUCAGAUGUGAAAGUCCACGGCUCAACCGUGGAAGUGCAUUUGAAACUGGAUGGCUUGAGUACUGGAGGGGGUGGUGGAAUUCCCGGUGUAGAGGUGAAAUUCGUAGAUAUCGGGAGGAAUACCGGUGGCGAAGGCGACCACCUGGCCAGAUACUGACGCUGAGGUGCGAAAGCGUGGGGAGCAAAC